UACGUAGGGUGCGAGCGUUGUCCGGAAUUAUUGGGCGUAAAGAGCUCGUAGGCAGCCUGCUAAGUCGAACGUGAAAUCCCUGGGCUCAACCCAGGAACUGCGUCCGAUACUGGUUGGCUUGAAUCCGGGAGAGGGACGUGGAAUUCCAGGUGUAGCGGUGAAAUGCGUAGAUAUCUGGAGGAACACCGGUGGCGAAGGCGACGUCCUGGACCGGCAUUGACGCUGAGGCGCGAAAGCCAGGGGAGCAAACAGG
rnacentral:rRNA from 1 species